rnacentral:lncRNA from 13 species
GUUAACAUGGCUGCCGCACAGCAUCAUCAUUGAUCAGCAUUGCCCUCUUGCCCUACCUCAUGGCUUGCCAGCCACCUCCUCCAUCUGGAUGUCACCUGGGAGCUCAACCAUUUUCAUCAGCUAAAGAUGAGUUUUUGAGACCACAGACACUGACACAUGAGUGUCUUCUAGUACCUGUACCACCUGCUCCACAUGAUAAUCUUUGGAGACCAUGGUCACCUCCACCCAAGUGUACUCUUUUACCUCUGCCACCUUCUCAAGCUGAAGAUUUUCUAGGACCAGACACACCACCACCCGAGUGUCUUCUGACACCUCUACCGCCAUCUACAGAUGAUGAGUUUUCAAGACUACAGACACCGACACAUGAGUGUCUUCUAGCACCUGUACCACCUGCUCCACAUGAUAAUCUUUGGAGACCAUGGCCACCUCCAGCAAAUGCCACCAUGGAGCAUGAUUCAGCCUUGAAAAGGAAUGAGGCUUUGCCAGGGGACACAGCGUGGAUGCACCUUGAGGACGUCAUGCUCUGUGAAAGGACCCAGACACAGAAGGCCAUGUGGUGUGUGAUUGCAUCUCUAUGAAAUGUCCGGGACAGGCCCAUACACAGAAGGGGAUGCAUGGGUGGCAGGGCUGCAGGAGGGAGAUGGGCAGUGACUGCCUAUGGGCAACAUGGGGCUUCUUUUGG